rnacentral:rRNA from 1 species
CGGUGUUCAACUGGCGUGCCCGCGGGACGUCCUGCCGGUGAGCUCAGCCCGCGAGGGCGGCUCAACUUGAAAUCCCAUCGCGGUGCUCUUCAUUGAGUGUCGAGGUGGGCCGGCACGAUUACUUUUGAACAAAUUAGAGUGCUUAAAGCAGGCUAAAAUUUUGCCUGAAUACUGUGUAUAUGGAAUAAUGGAAUAGGACCUCGGUUCUAUUUUGUUGGUUUUCGGAACCCCGAGGUAAUGAUUAAUAGGAACGGAUGGGGGCAUUCGUAUUGCGACGUUAGAGGUGAAAUUCUUGGAUCGUCGCAAGACGGACUAAAGCGAAAGCAUUUGCCAAAAACGCUUUCAUUGAUCAAGAACGAAAGUUAGAGGUUCGAAGGCGAUCAGAUACCGCCCUAGUUCUAACCAUAAACUAUGCCAGCUAGCGAUCCGCCGACGUCCCUCUGAUGACUCGGCGGGCAGCUUCCGGGAAACCAAAGCUUUUGGGUUCCGGGGGAAGUAUGGUUGCAAAGCUGAAACUUAAAGGAAUUGACGGAAGGGCACCACCAGGAGUGGAGCCUGCGGCUUAAUUUGACUCAACACGGGAAACCUCACCAGGCCCAGACACUGGAAGGAUUGACAGAUUGAGAGCUCUUUCUUGAUUCAGUGGGUGGUGGUGCAUGGCCGUUCUUAGUCGGUGGAGCGAUUUGUCAGGUUAAUUCCGAUAACGGACGAGACUCUGACCUGAUAACUAGACGCACUUGCGGCAUCUCAAAGGUCCGCCGGCGGCUGGCUUUGCGCCCGUCGUCGCGCGCGAUUUUUACUGCCGGCGUACAAUAAAUUCUUCUAGAGGGACAAGUGG